GUUGUGCGGCUCAGUGGUAGAGCACUUUUCUAGCACACGUGAGGCAUUGGUUUGAUCCCCAGCACCACA
rnacentral:tRNA from 1 species